CCUACGAGGUGCAGCAGUGAGGACUAUUGGUCAAUGGGAGAGAUCCUGAACCAGCCAAGCCGCGUGAGGGAAGACGGCCCUAUGGGUUGUACACCUCUUUUGUCUGAGCACAAUACCCGGGACGUGUCCCGGACUGCGUGUAUCCGAAGAAAAAACUUCGGCUAACUCCGUGUCAGCAGCCGCGGUAAUACGGAGGAUGCGAGCGUUACCCGGAUUUAUUGGGUUUAAAGGGUGCGUAGGCGGUCCGUUAAGUCAGCGGUAAAAUUGCGGGGCUCAACCCCGUCGAGCCGUUGAAACUGGCAGACUUGAGUUGGCGAGAAGAACGCGGAAUGCGCGGUGUAGCGGUGAAAUGCAUAGAUAUCGCGCAGAACUCCGAUUGCGAAGGCAGCGUACCGGCGCCAGACUGACGCUGAGGCACGAAAGCGUGGGGAUCGAACAGGAUUAGAUACCCGUGUAGUC
rnacentral:rRNA from 1 species